rnacentral:rRNA from 1 species
CAGCCGCCGCGGGAAAACGAAGGGGGCUAGCGUUGUUCGGAAUUACUGGGCGUAAAGCGCACGUAGGCGGAUAUUUAAGUCAGGGGUGAAAUCCCAGAGCUCAACUCUGGAACUGCCUUUGAUACUGGGUAUCUUGAGUAUGGAAGAGGUGAGUGGAAUUCCGAGUGUAGAGGUGAAAUUCGUAGAUAUUCGGAGGAACACCAGUGGCGAAGGCGGCUUACUGGCUCGAUACUGACGCUGAGGUGCGAAAGCGUGGGGAGCAAACAGGAUUAGAUACCCCCGUAGUCCCUGUCUCUUAUAC